rnacentral:rRNA from 1 species
GAAUGCGAUCAUACCAACACUAAUAUACCGAAUCCUAUCAGAAUUCUACUGUAAAACAUGUUUACGCGAAAAAAGUAUUAGGAUAGAUAACUUUUCGGGAAGUUCUCGUGUUGUAUAUU